AUACAGAGGGUGCGAGCGUUAAUCGGAAUUACUGGGCGUAAAGCGCGCGUAGGCGGCUUAUUAAGUCAGAUGAGAAAUCCCCGGGCUCAACCUGGGAACUGCAUCUGAUACUGGUAAGCUAGAGUUUUGGAGAGGGAAGUAGAAUUUCAGGUGUAGCGGUGAAAUGCAUAGAGAUCUGAAGGAAUACCAGUGGCGAAGGCGACUUCCUGGCCAAAAACUGACGCUGAGGUGCGAAAGCGUGGGUAGCAAACGGGAUUAGAAACCCCAGUAGUCC
rnacentral:rRNA from 1 species